UUUGAUUAAGUAUACUUGUAUAUUUCACUUACAAUGAAAUGGUCUUAUUUUAAGAAUCAAAA
rnacentral:tRNA from 1 species